AGCGAACGCUGGCGGCAGGCCUAACACAUGCAAGUCGAACGAACCUUUCGGGGUUAGUGGCGGACGGGUGAGUAACACGUGGGAACGUGCCUUUAGGUUCGGAAUAACUCAGGGAAACUUGUGCUAAUACCGAAUGUGCCCUUCGGGGGAAAGAUUAAUCGCCUUUAGAGCGGCCCGCGUCUGAUUAGCUAGUUGGUUGACGUAAUGGCUCACCAAGGCGACAAUCAGUAGAUGGUCUGAGAGGAUGAUCAGACACAUUGGGACUGAGACACGGCCGAAACUCCUACGGGAGGCAGCAGUGGGGGAUCUUGCGAAAUGGGCGAAGGCAUGAAGCAGCCAUGCCGCGUGAAUGAUGAAGGUCUUAGGGUUGUAAAAUUCUUUCACCGGGGACGAUAAUGACGGUACCCGGAGAAGAAGCCCCGGCUAACUUCGUG
rnacentral:rRNA from 1 species